rnacentral:rRNA from 1 species
UACAGAGGGUGCAAGCGUUAAUCGGAAUUACUGGGCGUAAAGCGUGCGUAGACGGUCAUGUAAGUCGGGUGUGAAAGCCCCGGGCUCAACCUGGGAAUUGCAUUCGAGACUGCAUGGCUAGGAUGCGGAAGAGGGAAGCGGAAUUUCCGGUGUAGCGGUGAAAUGCGUAGAUAUCGGAAGGAACUCCGGCGGCGAAAGCGAUGCACUGGCUGAUUUCUGACGCUGAGGUGCGAAAGCCAGGGGAGCAAACGGG